rnacentral:lncRNA from 1 species
UCAAAAGUGCGAAAGCGAGAGGGGUGCGGUCCAUUAAACGACGGGAAGAGAUUACAGAAGCGCGAUGAAUGUGAGGGAGGGGGUGGGUGGGGCGGGCGACCUCCACCUGGGGUGGAAAAUACCCGGAAACGCUUCUGCUUCCGACGCGACAUCUGCAGGGCAGGAGAUGCAACUGCGUGAAUCGAGCUUUCCCGGCUUUCCACUCUCAGAUGAAAAGCAACCCUAGCGCGCGUACUACGUUUGUACUACGCUACUCGACGCUGCUGCAGUCACGAAAGUUUUAGUUCGUUUCAAUCCCACGAGGUGGCAGCUUUAGUCAGCGUGAAGUUCGAUCCGUUCCGAGUCCUCGGACUCGUCGCCAGAGUGCAGCAGUGUCCGGAGUCCGAUUUGACAUUUAACGUUCUAGAUAGUCUCCGUGGGGAUUAGAAGUAGUAUCAAUUCGAUCAGAGCUGAUUUUGGUGGCAAAUGGAUGAACAAUGCUGUCCUGGGAUAAAGUGCUCGUCUCAAUAACUGUACUUGUCGUUUGCCUUCAGUUCCUAUGUGCAAACGCCCUUUGCUGUUAUGGACAAAGAGAGGGCCUCUCUGUGUAUUGCCGAGAUGGAAAAAUAGCCCGAGACGGUGAAUGCUGCGGCCGAGGCCCGUGCAGAUCUGAUUGCUGUUUCUGUGAGAGGGGAUGCAGAGGGCCAGCCGGAUCCCGAAAUGAUCUCCGCUUGGCUGAGAGUCGACAACAAGAGCAAUGGACAUUCGUGGAUAGCAACAAAUAGCUUGUACAAAUAGUUACCUAUUCGAUAAUUAUACACAAUUAAACAAUUUCACAAAGCCAGAACUGUUCAUGUUGAUGGAAAGGUGAUGUUUCCGCGGGGCUAGAGAUGUUCGCUGCGCAAUGAGAUUUCACGAGAUGUUCCUCAAGAGAAAAUGCCAACUGCUAAAAAUGAGUGCGCUCCCAGUUCCUUUGCGAUUAAAUCAUGUUUAAACUUCUAAAACCAUCGAAGCAGCAGAAAUUAAUCCCGGCAACAGGACUUGGCGGGUAAAAUUGAAAUUCCUCGACGUAGAAAACGAGAGAGAAUCCAAUUUAAGCGUUGCUAAAAACGCUGGUUAUGAAAAUAAAAGGGGGAAAGCUGAUAUACGUUUGAAACAGUUUAAUAUGCCACAGGGAGAGCGGAGCAGCAUCACAUGGAGUAUUGAAUGAGGAGGGUUUUCCGUAAUUAUUUCCUCUUUGAAAGACGAGGAAAUGCAGUUUCACGAGAAGCAAACAUGUGAAAAGGAUUUUUCUAACGGACGACGUAGAUUCAUGAUCAAGGAGCUUUGUCUGCCAGAAGUUGUAAAUAUGGUAUUUCUUUUUCAGAGUAACAUCUAUCAGCCUCCUUGAAAGUCGUUCAGGCAUUCCGUACCGUAAAUCUGGGAGAAAUUUGCGGCUUUCAAGGCACUAUUUUGCAAAUUUUUCUUCUAAUACAAAGAAAUAGAACGCUGCUAGCGCUAGCCUAUGAUCAUAGUUAAAUUCAUUAACUUGUUAAAUCGUAUGAAUGCUGGUUUUAGAAUAAUUCUGUACAUAAAAAAUUGCCAUAAACAGCAUCUCAGUAGUUUAAUCAGCGACAGUGGCGAUUAGGCAUGUGCCUAACAGUUAUUUUCUAAUAACAGUUGUCACCUUAAUUGUUAUUUAUAAAUAACAGUUAUUUAUAACAGUUAUUCAUAACUAUUAUUUUGGGGAAAAUUGCUCGAAAAUUGUAUCUUAUCCACUUCGAUUCGCUCAAAAAUGAUACGUCUUGCCAACCAAACUGAUAAAAAAUUCCCAGGAGUAUUAUGUCAAGACAUGUUGUCAUUUAUUUUAAUUAACUGCAGAUUUUCAUUAAUUGGCGUAAAGAAUUAACCAAAACAUUGAAUAUUUAAGAUAACUGUUAUUUUUCAAUAAUAACAUUUGAUAACUGUUAUUGGGAAAUAACAGUUAUCGAUAACAGUUAACUGUUAUCGGCACAUCUCUAGUGGCGAUUCUUGAAAAUUGACAACACAGUUUUCCCUCCAUUUAAAUGUGUAUAAAACAAUCGAUUCUUGAUGAGGCAGCUGCCUCACCUAAAAUCGAUAUUUCUAAUGGAUUUAGAAUGUGGAAAAACAAUGUUGCCAUUUUGCGAAAUCACCACUGGUCAGCAGCCGAGACGGUACGGUGCGGUAGUGGAUUUUGGUUUUUACCUCGAAAUUUCUUCUCAUAGAUCUUUUUGGUAACUUGGCGUGGACAGUAAGUAAACUUAGCAGAAGGUACCCAUCUAUAGGAUACUUAAAAGCACAUUAGUAGCUUAUUUAGAGUAGUUGUUUUCAGGGCCGGAUUUACCUUCUUGCCGCCCAUGGGCCGCCUGUAUUUUGCCGCCCCAUCUCAUUCGUUUUGAAACAUACAUAGAAACAUCAAGUGAACGUGCCGGAGGAGGAGGGUUACAUAAGACGCGUUUACUCGCGUUUGGCGCAUUUUUUGUGAAAGCCCUGUCAACACCAGCAAAAGUUCACGGGUCUUUGCUCGAAAAUUAAGUUCCAUAGACCUAUCUCUAUGUGGACGAUGCCUUUCAUUUAUGAGAAAAGAACGAAAAAAUUAUGAACAAGAAUAAACAUGAAUGCGGUCUAAUGAUCUUAAUUUCCGCCACCGCGCCAACCGCACUGUGUUUGGCGCAAUGCGUGAAGUAUCCCUACAGUCUUGUAGGCGCUAUGCGUUCCACGCUGACCGCUGCUGACCAAGUGACCGCACUGAUUUUGACGCAAUGCGUGAAGUAUUCAUGCAGUCUUGUAGGCACUAUGAGUUUCACGCCAACCGCUGCUGACCGCACUACGUUUGACGCAAUGCGUGAAGUAUUCAUGCAGUCUUGUAGGCGCUAAUAUGUGUUUCAUGCUGACCGGUGCGCCGAUAGGGCUUCUCCUUUCCAUCUCAAGUUCUCGCCAUCAUUGCUCUCUGCGCCGUGCCGCUCCAGGCCAAAUUACGUGUUUGGUUUCUCUCUCAAGUAGAUUAAUGAAAGGCGCUGUCUCUGAUAUCACCGAAAGACGAACAAAUUAGAAAUGACUAUACUUUAACUCUCAGGAUAUGAGAGAUUUUUUCGCCUUUCCUCAUUUGUGAUUUUUUUUCUGAACCGGAUUUUUUUCUUAAUACCUACAUUUGGAAAAAUUACAACAUUUGCCGCCCCCUAAAUUUCUACCCUCUUAGUCCGGCUCUGGUGGUUUUACCGCAUUGAAAAAAUGAUUCGGGUCUGACAAACUCAUAUCGAUGCACGAAGUCCAAAAAUGCGUAACUCCGAAUACGUUGAAAAUCUUUGGCUGUGUCUUGUAUUAUUUUUAAAGUAAAAUAAAGCACGCUUUUUCCAUAA